UAUGCCUGUGAUCUCAACAUUCAAGAUCU
rnacentral:piRNA from 1 species